GAUGAACGCUGGCGGCGUGCCUAAUACAUGCCAGUCGAGCGAACGGACGAGAAGCUUGCUUCUCUGAUGUUAGCGGCGGUCGGGUGAGUCACACGUGGAUAACCUACCUAUACGACUGGGAUAACUACGGGAAACCGGAGCUAAUACCGGAUAAUAUUUUGAACUGCAUGGUUCAAAAGUGAAAGACGGUCUUGCUGUCACUUAUAGAUUGAUCCGCGCUGCAUUAGCUAGUUGGUAAGGUAACGGCUUACCAAGGCAACGAUGCAUAGCCGACCUGAGAGGGUGAUCGGCCACACUGGAACUGAGACACGGUCCAGACUCCUACGGGAGGCAGCAGUAGGGAAUCUUCCGCAAUGGGCGAAAGCCUGACAGAGCAACGCCGCGUGAGUGAUGAAGGUCUUCGGAUCGUAAAGCUCUGUUAUUAGGGAAGAACAUAUGUGUAAGUAACUGUGCACAUCUUGACGGUACCUAAUCAGAAAGCCACGGCUAACCACGUG
rnacentral:rRNA from 1 species